UACGGGGGGGGGUAAGCGUUGUUCGGAAUUACUGGGCGUAAAGGGCUCGUAGGCGGCCAACUAAGUCAUACGUGAAAUCCCUCAGCUUAACUGGGGAACUGCGUGUGAUACUGGAUGGCUUGGAUUUGGGAGAGGGAUGCGGAAUUCCAGGUGUAGCGGUGAAAUGCGUAGAUAUCUGGAGGAACACCGGUGGCGAAGGCGGCAUCCUGGACCGGUAUUGACGCUGAGGCGCGAAAGCUAGGGGAGCAAACGGGG
rnacentral:rRNA from 1 species